GACCUUUAACUACUCCAAAAAUAAAGUCUUUGGGAACCUGUAUGUCAGCAAGAAUCUCUCCAACAACUGCCAGAAUUUUCUCCAGAGCUGUCUUCUCAUGACCCCAGAGGACAGAGCUACCCUGGAGGCCCUGAAGGACCACCCUUGGCUGGUUUAACCAGGACAACAGGGGCCCUUCUUCCCCAAAGACUAAUGCCACCAUCCAAUCGUCCCCAUGAAAUGAAAAAUGUAAAAAGACUUUGUCCUUAAGACUACAACAGCUCAUAAAAACACCCAGCUGUCCGUGGUGAGGGGAUCUCUCUUUGAAUUGCCUCCCCCAAGGUUUCUUCUGUUUUCAGGAGUUUUUCCUUGUCUUCUUAGAGAGCUAGGGCUUGGUGGAGCUUGUUGAUAGAUCCUGAGUCAUUAUAUACAUGGGACAACAAAGAAAGUCUGUCUUUGUAGUCCAGAUCCAGAGUCUUAUUGGAUGGACUGAAAACUGAAAAAAAGACAUGCCAAAAAA